rnacentral:lncRNA from 1 species
GUUAGCGUUAUCCGCUCACCCUCCCUCUUUCUCUCUUCUCCUCGAUCCACCUUACCCUCUUGUUUCUCGUCAUCAGAAUUGCUUUCAGUCAGCACGCACAACCACCGAGUUCUUGGCCUCUUUCAGUGACGAGGCUUUACCUUGUCAACACCAUCCUUGAUCUACCUUUGUGGCUGGUCUGACACCUUCAAUGACUAUUCCUUUAAGUUUGAGUUCCCUUGUGAACCGUUGAGUGAACAAGGUAGUCGCCAUCCCAAACUUGCUGUUCAAUCGAUCUCUAGUCGAUUGGCUUUCUCCAUAUCCCGGCAUGCAUCACGCUCAUCCUCUUCUCUCGCUUCUUCAUCCUUUUGCAUGUGUUUUCCUCCUGUCCUCUCCGGUUGCAAUUUGAUAGCAACAAACCCUUCAACAGUAAGACCAAUAGGUGACCAUCCUGAACAUAGAACAUAGAAUUUCUCAAGAUAAAAAAGGUCGUGAUCUUCUUUUCUUUGUUUCCUAUACAAUCCUAUUUUUUUUUUCAUUGCCCAUGCAUGCACAACGGCGAAAUGAAACGGCAUAAGCAAGAUGAACAACAUGUAAAUUGGAGAGCUCAGAAACCGUCUUAAUUUUGGAUGAUAGGCAA